UGCCCAGCAACUCCUAUCCCUACCUCCUCGAGGCACUGGCCGGGGUACGAGCAACCUUAGGGAAGAUCUGAUAGCCAACCCCGGUGGAAAUUUUGGUCGUAUGCUGACAGGGGAGG
rnacentral:ribozyme from 1 species